rnacentral:rRNA from 1 species
CCCUUAGAUGUUCUGGGCCGCACACGCGCUACACUGAAGGAGGCAGCAUGUACUCCUGGAUCGAAAGAUUUGGGUAACCCGCGAAUCUCCUUCGUGCUAGGGAUUGAGGUUUGCAAUUAUCCUUCAUGAACGAGGAAUUCCCAGUAAGUGCAAGUCAUAAGCUUGCGCUGACUACGUCCCCGCCCUUUGUACACACUGCCCGUCGCUACUACCGAUUGAAUGAUUUAGUGAGGACUUCGGACUGGGACCGAUGCGGCUUUCGGGCUGCGUCGGUAUUCUGGAAAGAUGUCCAAACUGUAUCAUUUAGAGGAAGUAAAAGUCGUAACA